UACGAAGGGGGCUAGCGUUGUUCGGAAUUACUGGGCGUAAAGGGCGCGUAGGCGGCCGGACAAGUGGAAGGUGAAAUCCCCGAGCUCAACUCGGGAACUGCCCUCCAAACUGUUUGGCUUGAGUCCGGGAGAGGUGAGUGGAAUUCCCAGUGUAGCGGUGAAAUGCGUAGAUAUUGGGAGGAACACCAGUGGCGAAGGCGGCUCACUGGACCGGAACUGACGCUGAGGCGCGAAAGCGUGGGGAGCAAACAGG
rnacentral:rRNA from 1 species